AGCGAACGCUGGCGGCAGGCCUAAUACAUGCAAGUCGAACGGCCCUUCGGGGCAGUGGCGGACGGGUGAGUAACACGUGGGAACGUGCCCUUUGGUACGGAACAACUGAGGGAAACUUCAGCUAAUACCGUAUGAGCCCUACGGGGGAAAGAUUUAUCGCCAUUGGAGCGGCCCGCGUUGGAUUAGCUAGUUGGUGGGGUAAAGGCCCACCAAGGCUACGAUCCAUAGCUGGCCUGAGAGGAUGAUCAGCCACACUGGGACUGAGACACGGCCCAGACUCCUACGGGAGGCAGCAGUAGGGAAUCUUGCGCAAUGGGCGAAAGCCUGACGCAGCCAUGCCGCGUGAAUGAUGAAGGUCUUAGGAUUGUAAAAUUCUUUCACCGGGGAAGAUAAUGACGGUACCCGGAGAAGAAGCCCCGGCUAACUUCGUGCCAGCAGCCGCGGUAAUAC
rnacentral:rRNA from 1 species